rnacentral:tRNA from 1 species
ACCUGACUGGCUUGGUCGGUGGAGCAUCUGACUCUUGAUCUUGGGGUUGUGAGUUCAAGCCCCACGUUGGGUG